rnacentral:rRNA from 1 species
UACGUAGGGGGCAAGCGUUGUCCGGAAUUAUUGGGCGUAAAGCGCGCGCAGGCGGUCAUUUAAGUCUGGUGUUUAAUCCUGGGGCUCAACCCCGGGUCGCACUGGAAACUGGGUGGCUUGAGUACAGAAGAGGAGAGUGGAAUUCCACGUGUAGCGGUGAAAUGCGUAGAUAUGUGGAGGAACACCAGUGGCGAAGGCGACUCUCUGGGCUGUAACUGACGCUGAGGCGCGAAAGCGUGGGGAGCAAACAGG